rnacentral:rRNA from 1 species
UUGAGUCUCCUGAAGGAACGUUGAAGACGACGACGUUGAUAGGUCGGGUGUGUAAGCGCAGCGAUGUGUUGAGCUAACCGAUACUAAUGAACCGUGAGGCUUAACCUU